AUCACGAGUCAGUUGUACCAUCCCACAGCAGGAGAAAGGAUAAUGGCACCUGUCCUGGCUAUACGGAGGCCUGACGUCGUUUCUUGACUGGUUUGCCUCCUUCUCUGACUGCAACCUCCUUGAGGGAAGAAACUGACGCUGUUGGUGGUGGAGUAGAAAAACAAAAAGAAUGGAGGUCCUUGAUGGCACUGCCAACCAACCCUGAAGUCUGUCUAACCUCUGAACUACCAGGGCUUCAAGGACCUGGGCACAUGAACAAAACCAUUGGAGGAUGGAGCCUGCCUACUCAGCCAAGUUCUAGCCUUGUGAAGGCAGCCAUGAGUCACCAGCUAAGAAUCCUCAAAUUACCUGUACUGAUGGGCCAGGAAUGUGCACAGUACCCCCCAGGGCUCCUGGGUGCAGAGGCUUCUGGGAAGCAGGUAGCUGAGAACAAUGCAUCAACAGGAGCACCUUGCAGAGCUCCGGUGGGGGCUGCUGUGCCUCACAUGCACACACAGAACACACUCGCCCGUGGUCACUUACAUCCGUUUCAUCCUUCUUAAGGGAGGAAAAAUAAACGUGUAUGCUAAUAUGCUCCCAAGAUAUCUGCACAGCCUCGUCCACCUAUUAACUGAUAACUUCUCUCUAAUGUAUAAAAAGAGGGAUAUAUGUAAACCAUGCUUGGUGUUUUAGUAUUCUCUUUAUUUCUACGAAUUUUAAUUUUUAGAGGAUUGUCCGAGUAACCCCAAAUUUCUCAAUAUUAGUCAAAGGUCUCAAAGUUAACUAAAGAUUUUAGAAAUUAUGUUUACUUAUUUAUGCAAUGCAAAAAACCCACGAUUCCUGCUGAUAUUAUGAUUUUACCAGAGAAAUAUUUCAAUUUUUUGCUACCAAUUCAUAAGAAUUAAUACUUUUUAAUAAAGACAUGGCCUAUUCUAAUCUAAUUUGGAUGUUAUGAAUUUUAUUUUUAGUAAUUCUAAAUAUUUUGUGGAAAUGAUGCUUUACUUGGCCCAUAAAAUUAUUUUAGGAAUUUAGUUGGCUUAAAACAGGGUUUUCAUGGGAAAAUAAAACCAAGUUUUGUGUCGGGUAUAUUACUAUGUUAACAUUUUCAUGCUGUGAUAAAACUGGGAAAAGUUUAUUGUGCCAAGUUUUCACCUUGAUUAGGAAUAUUGUCUGAACUUCAUUUUAUAUUUGCAUGCACAUUUAAGA
rnacentral:lncRNA from 1 species